CCUACGGGCGGCAGCAGUGAGGAAUAUUGGUCAAUGGACGAGAGUCUGAACCAGCCAAGUAGCGUGAAGGAUGACUGCCCUAUGGGUUGUAAACUUCUUUUAUAUGGGAGUAAAACAGGGUAUGCAUACCCUCUUGUAUGUACCAUAUGAAUAAGGAUCGGCUAACUCCGUGCCAGCAGCCGCGGUAAUACGGAGGGUCCGAGCGUUAUCCGGAUUUAUUGGGUUUAAAGGGAGCGUAGGUGGAUUGUUAAGUCAGUUGGGAAAGUUUGCGGUCCAACCGGAGAAUUGCAGUUGAAACUGGCAGUCUGGAGUACAGUAGAGGUGGGCGGAAUUCGUGGUGUAGCGGUGAAAUGCUUAGAUAUCAGGAAGAACACCGAUUGCGAAGGCAGCUGACUGGACUGCAACUGACGCUGAUGCUCGAAAGCGUGGGGAGCAAACAGGAUUAGAUACCCGGGUAGUC
rnacentral:rRNA from 1 species